CUAGUAACGGCGAGUGAAGCGGCAACAGCUCAAAUUUGAAAUCUGGCGUCUUUGGCGUCCGAGUUGUAAUUUGCAGAGGGCGCUUUGGCAUUGGCAGCGGUCCAAGUUCCUUGGAACAGGACGUCACAGAGGGUGAGAAUCCCGUACGUGGUCGCUAGCCUUUACCGUGUAAAGCCCCUUCGACGAGUCGAGUUGUUUGGGAAUGCAGCUCUAAAUGGGAGGUAAAUUUCUUCUAAAGCUAAAUACUGGCCAGAGACCGAUAGCGCACAAGUAGAGUGAUCGAAAGAUGAAAAGCACUUUGGAAAGAGAGUUAAAAAGCACGUGAAAUUGUUGAAAGGGAAGCGCUUGCAGCCAGACUUGCCUGUAGUUGCUCAUCCGGGUUUUUACCCGGUGCACUCUUCUACGGGCAGGCCAGCAUCAGUUUGGGCGGUUGGAUAAAGGUCUCUGUCAUGUACCUCCUCUCGGGGAGAACUUAUAGGGGAGACGACAUGCAACCAGCCCGGACUGAGGUCCGCGCAUCUGCUAGGAUGCUGGCGUAAUGGCUGUAAGCGGCCCGUCUU
rnacentral:rRNA from 1 species